rnacentral:lncRNA from 1 species
UUUUAAUACAGUUGGCAAGAGUCAAGAUUGUUCUGUGCAGAGUUGGGGGGGGUGAAAGACAGACAGGAACAUCAGGGGAGUGGAUGGAACAUCCUGGGAAGAGAGAAGAAGGGAGAGAACAGGAGGACACAGAACCCGCAGAGAUGCAGAAGCAAAGCAAGAGAUGGCAGGACAGGCCAGUGGUUGAACUCCUCUGCUUCUCCUCCGCUUAUAAAGGCCCCAGGGAAGGACCGCGGUCUGACACUUCAGAACUGGACCCAACAGCCUCCGUCUGCCUCGAUCCUCUCCUUCCAUCCAUCCAUUUAUCACCUGCGCCUCCUCCUCCUCCUUCUCCAAACAGACAAAGUUUCCGAGAGCACACAGCUGGAGCUGGGAGGAGACUGCGCCUGCAUCUUCUCCUCCUCCCCCCCCAACCUCCUUCCACAAGCAGGCAUCCCCUGUUUGCUUGCCUUAUCUCCUGCCACAAAGUUCUUUCCACUGGACUGGUUUGCUCAGGGCAAUGGAAACUUGCCCAGACAAUGGAAGAUGGGGAGCCUGGAGCCACAGGGAUCUGGGUGGCUGGGCCCACGCUGAGCCCACGCGCCAAGGGACCAAGAUCAUAGGCAGCGCGGCUGGUGGGGGGUGAUAAGGUGAGCCAGAAGGCAACCUCGGAUUGACCCUGUCUCUGGAAUUUCUAUUCAGUGUCACGGCUAAGCCAAGUUAUCAAGUGUGAAAUUGGAGAAAAGGAGUUAAGGUUUUGCAUUGUUUGAGGGAGCAGAGAGGGAUUCUUCCAUGCAAAGAUGCCAGAAGGAUUUCCUUAAAAGAGGGGGUGGGCUGAAGCUUAAUUUCAAUCCACAAACCAGUGGGUCUCAAAUAACAGUAUAGCGGGGACACAGAAAUAGUCUAAGCGGGACAGGGGCGUUUCCUAACACAAAAUAUUAUCUUUAUUCAUUUGGCUCUUUGAAUUUUUAGUCAUAGCAGCAAGUUAAGGUUUUGCAUUGUUUGAGGGAGCAGAGAGGGAUUCUUCCAUGCAAAGAUGCCAGAAGGAUUUCCUUAAAAGAGGGGGUGGGCUGAAGCUUAAUUUCAAUCCACAAACCAGUGGGUCUCAAAUAACAGUAUAGCGGGACACAGAAAUAGUCUAAGCGGGACAGGGGCAUUUCCUAACACAAAAUAUUAUCUUUAUUCAUUUGGCUCUUUGAAUUUCUACUCAUACAUUUUAUACCAAUACUGUUGCCAUUUUUUUGUAAUUAAAUUUUUUUGUUUUACUUGCCCGUGGCACUAAAAUGUAUCUUGUAUCCUGUGUUAUUUAAACCUGACCUCUCCAUUUUGCUUGGCUAAAACUGUGCCUUUGAGAACAGCCCUUACCUCUGGAACAGACGAUAAUGCUAGGAAAAGUUGAAAGCAGCAGGAAAAGGGGAAGAUCAAAUACGAGAUGAGUUGACUGCCUUAAAGGAAGGCACAGUGCUUGAGCGUGCAAGAACUGAGCAAGGAUGGGACAAAUAACGCGACAAAUGUUGACAGAAGAGG